ensembl:lncRNA
GGUAGAUGGGAAAUGGUUGAUAGUAUAUUUCUUAGUAUAUUAAGGUUAUUAUUUGACAUGAAAUACAAUUAUAAUUUAAAGAUAACUUCUUUAUCUACCUGACGCCUUUAGGUAAUUUAUUUAGUUAUUAGGGUUAAUACUAUACAUUAGAUAGGUAGUAAACAAGCAUUAAUACUAUACAUUAGAUAGUUAGUAAACAAGUAAACAAGCAUUAAUACUAUAUAUUAGAUAGGUAGUGAACAAGCAUUAUUAGAUAGGUAGUAAACAGUAAACAACCAUUAAUAAUACUAUACAUUAGAUAGGUAGUAAACAAGUAAACAAGCAUUAAUACUAUACACUAGAUAGGUAGUAAACAAGCAUUACUACUAUACAUUAGAUAGGAAGUAAACAAACAUUAAUACUAUACACUAGAUAGGUAUUAAACAAGCAUUAAUACUAUACAUUAGAUAGGAAGUAAACAAAGCAUUAAUACUAUACAUUAGAUAGGUAGUAAACAGUAAACAAGCAUUAAUACUAUACAUUAGAUAGGUAGUAAACAGUAAACAAGCAUUAAUACUAUACAUUAGAUAGGUAGUAAACAAGUAAACAAGCAUUAAUACUAUACAAUAGAUAGGAAGUAAACAAAGCAUUAAUACUACACAUUAGAUAGGUAGUAAACAGUAAACAAGCAUUAAUACUACACAUU